GAAGAAAGCUGGCGGCGUGCCUAAUACAUGCAAGUUGAGCGCUGAAGGUUGGUACUUGUACCAACUGGAUGAGCAGCGAACGGGUGAGUAACGCGUGGGGAAUCUGCCUUUGAGCGGGGGACAACAUUUGGAAACGAAUGCUAAUACCGCAUAAAAACUUUAAACACAAGUUUUAAGUUUGAAAGAUGCAAUUGCAUCACUCAAGGAUGAUCCCGCGUUGUAUUAGCUAGUUGGUGAGGUAAAGGCUCACCAAGGCGAUGAUACAUAGCCGACCUGAGAGGGUGAUCGGCCACAUUGGGACUGAGACACGGCCCAAACUCCUACGGGAGGCAGCAGUAGGGAAUCUUCGGCAAUGGACGAAAGUCUGACCGAGCAACGCCGCGUGAGUGAAGAAGGUUUUCGGAUCGUAAAACUCUGUUGGUAGAGAAGAACGUUGGUGAGAGUGGAAAGCUCAUCAAGUGACGGUAACUACCCAGAAAGGGACGGCUAACUACGUG
rnacentral:rRNA from 1 species